AUACGGAGGAUCCGAGCGUUAUCCGGAUUUAUUGGGUUUAAAGGGUGCGCAGGCGGCCAUUUAAGUCAGCGGUUAAAUCGUGGGGCUCAACCCCAUUCUGCCGUUGAUACUGGGUGGCUUGAUUGCGGUCGAGGUUGGCGGAAUUCGUUGUGUAGCGGUGAAAUGCAUAGAUAUGACGAAGAACACCGAUUGCGUAGGCAGCUGACCAGACCGCAAAUGACGCUCAUGCACGAAAGUGCGGGGAUCGAACAGGAUUAGAUACCCUGGUAGUCCUCACAGUAAACGAUGAAUACUUGUUUUCGGCGAUAUAAUGUCGGAGGCAAAGCGAAAGCGAUAAGUAUUCCCCCUGGGGAGUACGCCGGCAACGGUGAAACUCAAAUGAAUUGGCGGGG
rnacentral:rRNA from 1 species